UACGGGGGGGGCAAGCGUUGUUCGGAAUUACUGGGCGUAAAGGGCUCGUAGGCGGCCAACUAAGUCGGAUGUGAAAUCCCCGGGCUCAACCUGGGAAUUGCAUUCGAUACUGGAUAGCUAGAGUUCGGCAGAGGGAAGUGGAAUUUCGGGUGUAGCGGUGAAAUGCGUAGAUAUCCGAAGGAACAUCAGUGGCGAAAGCGACUUCCUGGACCAGAACUGACGAUCAGGCACGAAAGCGUGGGGAGCAAACAGG
rnacentral:rRNA from 1 species